CCCCUCUCAGGGUUGCUUCUGGAGAGUUUCCAGUCCUCUAUCAGUCUCAACUAUGGAAGGGGAAGUCAAGCAGAGGCAUGUCCAUUCCAUUCCUAGCUCUGGCAGUGGCUAGUGAGUGGAAGACAAUCUCCUACAAGU